rnacentral:lncRNA from 1 species
UCAUUUUGAGCAGAUAAACUAGAGAAGAGUGGGUGUGAAGGACUUACUGAUGUGAGUAUAGAUGACUUAAACUAUUUAAAAAACCAACCAAGUUAAGAAAGUCAUAGUUUGGACACUUGAAACCUUGAAGGCCACAAUUUGGGUUACCCAAAGGAAGCUCCAAAGAACCAAACACGUUCGAAGGAAGAUUCAUGUGAUAAGAAAGAAAGGAAUGAUCCAAUC